rnacentral:rRNA from 1 species
UGAGGUGCGAAAGUGUGGGGAUCAAACAGGAUUAGAUACCUUGGUAGUCCACACUGUAAACGAUGUGCACUAGGUGCUGGGGCGGUAGCUUCAGUGCCGGAGCGAACGUGUAAGUGUACCGCCUGGGGAGUAUGCUCGCAAGGGUGAAACUCAAAGGAAUUGACGGGGGCCCGCACAAGCGGUGGAGCAUGUGGUUUAAUUCGAUGGUACGCGAGGAACCUUACCUGGGUUUGACAUACAGGGGGAUGUGGCAGCGAUGUCACAGACUGGAAACAGUACCCUGUACAGGUGCUGCAUGGCUGUCGUCAGCUCGUGCCGUGAGGUGUUGGGUUAAGUCCCGCAACGASCGCAACCCCUACUGCCAGUUACUAACAGGUAAAGCUGARGACUCUGGCGGAACUGCCGGUGACAAACCGGAGGAAGGUGGGGAUGACGUCAAGUCAUCAUGGCCCCUAUGUCCAGGGCUACACACGUGCUACAAUGGGCGAUACAGAGUGACGCGAAGCCGCGAGGUGGAGCAAAUCGCAGAAAAUCGCUCUCAGUUCGGAUUGGAGUCUGAAACCCGACUCCAUGAGGGUGGAAUCGCUAGUAAUCGCGCAUCAGCAUGGCGCGGUGGAUACGUUCCCGGGCCUUGUACACACCGCCCGUCACACCAUCCGAGUGGGGGGUACCCGAAGCCCUUAGUCCCCCUGCAAAGGGGGGCGACGUCGAAGGUACGUCUAGGGCCCAUAAGUCGUAACAAGGUAGCCUCUCGGU